CCUACGGGUGGCAGCAGUGAGGAAUAUUGGUCAAUGGCCGAGAGGCUGAACCAGCCAAGUCGCGUGAGGGAAGACGGCCCUACGGGUUGUAAACCUCUUUUGUCGGGGAGCAAAGCGAACCACGUGUGGCUCAUUGAGAGUACCCGAAGAAAAAGCAUCGGCUAACUCCGUGCCAGCAGCCGCGGUAAUACGGAGGAUGCGAGCGUUAUCCGGAUUUAUUGGGUUUAAAGGGGGCGCAGGCGGAGGUGCAAGUCAGCGGUAAAAUUGCGGGGCUCAACCCCGUACUGCCGUUGAAACUGCAUCCCUUGAGGGCGCGAGAAGUAUGCGGAAUGCGUGGUGUAGCGGUGAAAUGCAUAGAUAUCACGCAGAACUCCGAUUGCGAAGGCAGCAUACCGGCGCGCAACUGACGCGCAUGCACGAAAGCGUGGGUAUCGAACAGGAUUAGAUACCCCAGUAGUC
rnacentral:rRNA from 1 species